GACGAACGCUGGCGGCGUGCUUAACACAUGCAAGUCGAACGGAAAGGCCCUGCUUUUGUGGGGUGCUCGAGUGGCGAACGGGUGAGUAACACGUGAGUAACCUGCCCUUGACUUUGGGAUAACUUCAGGAAACUGGGGCUAAUACCGGAUAGGAGCUCCUGCUGCAUGGUGGGGGUUGGAAAGUUUCGGCGGUUGGGGAUGGACUCGCGGCUUAUCAGCUUGUUGGUGGGGUAGUGGCCUACCAAGGCUUUGACGGGUAGCCGGCCUGAGAGGGUGACCGGCCACAUUGGGACUGAGAUACGGCCCAGACUCCUACGGGAGGCAGCAGUGGGGAAUAUUGCACAAUGGGCGGAAGCCUGAUGCAGCAACGCCGCGUGCGGGAUGACGGCCUUCGGGUUGUAAUCCGCUUUCGCCUGUGACGAAGCGUGAGUGACGGUAAUGGGUAAAGAAGCACCGGCUAACUACGUG
rnacentral:rRNA from 1 species